rnacentral:lncRNA from 1 species
GUCUCCCCAUCUUCAUGAGAGAUAGUCAUGGAAUCUGACAGCACAGGCUUUGUCAAGAUUUUUCUUUCUAGGAUUCCUUCACCUAACCAGAACUGACUUCAUCAGAGAGUUAUGAUGGUUAACUCUAUCAGUCUUCUACCUGAAUGCCCCAAGAUAUUGAUGAAGUCAACAAAAACAUUGAGCCUCAGAACACAAGAAAUCUUGGACAAACUGGGAGACAGCUUGUCAGUAUCUAAGUUUUACCUAACAGAAGAACGUCUCCAGACUGUAC